GAUGAACGCUGGCGGCGUGCCUAAUACAUGCAAGUCGAGCGAACGGACGAGAAGCUUGCUUCUCUGAUGUUAGCGGCGGACGGGUGAGUAACACGUGGAUAACCUACCCAUAAGACUGGGAUAGCUUCGGGAAACCGGGGCUAAUACCGGAUAAUAUUUUGAACCGCAUGGUUCAAAAGUGAAAGACGGUCUUGCUGUCACUUAUGGAUGGAUCCGCGCUGCAUUAGCUAGUUGGUAAGGUAACGGCUUACCAAGGCAACGAUGCAUAGCCGACCUGAGAGGGUGAUCGGCCACACUGGAACUGAGACACGGUCCAGACUCCUACGGGAGGCAGCAGUAGGGAAUCUUCCGCAAUGGGCGAAAGCCUGACGGAGCAACGCCGCGUGAGUGAUGAAGGUCUUCGGAUCGUAAAACUCUGUUAUUAGGGAAGAACAUAUGUGUAAGUAACUGUGCACAUCUUGACGGUACCUAAUCAGAAAGCCACGGCUAACUACGUGCCAGCAGCCGCGGUAAUACGUAGGUGGCAAGCGUUAUCCGGAAUUAUUGGGCGUAAAGCGCGCGUAGGCGGUUUUUUAAGUCUGAUGUGAAAGCCCACGGCUCAACCGUGGAGGGUCAUUGGAAACUGGAAAACUUGAGUGCAGAAGAGGAAAGUGGAAUUCCAUGUGUAGCGGUGAAAUGCGCAGAGAUAUGGAGGAACACCAGUGGCGAAGGCGACUUUCUGGUCUGUAACUGACGCUGAUGUGCGAAAGCGUGGGGAUCAAACAGGAUUAGAUACCCUGGUAGUCCACGCCGUAAACGAUGAGUGCUAAGUGUUAGGGGGUUUCCGCCCCUUAGUGCUGCAGCUAACGCAUUAAGCACUCCGCCUGGGGAGUACGACCGCAAGGUUGAAACUCAAAGGAAUUGACGGGGACCCGCACAAGCGGUGGAGCAUGUGGUUUAAUUCGAAGCAACGCGAAGAACCUUACCAAAUCUUGACAUCCUUUGACAACUCUAGAGAUAGAGCCUUCCCCUUCGGGGGACAAAGUGACAGGUGGUGCAUGGUUGUCGUCAGCUCGUGUCGUGAGAUGUUGGGUUAAGUCCCGCAACGAGCGCAACCCUUAAGCUUAGUUGCCAUCAUUAAGUUGGGCACUCUAAGUUGACUGCCGGUGACAAACCGGAGGAAGGUGGGGAUGACGUCAAAUCAUCAUGCCCCUUAUGAUUUGGGCUACACACGUGCUACAAUGGACAAUACAAAGGGCAGCGAAACCGCGAGGUCAAGCAAAUCCCAUAAAGUUGUUCUCAGUUCGGAUUGUAGUCUGCAACUCGACUACAUGAAGCUGGAAUCGCUAGUAAUCGUAGAUCAGCAUGCUACGGUGAAUACGUUCCCGGGUCU
rnacentral:rRNA from 1 species